GUGCGGUGGGGCUGAUACCUGCCCGUGGCAAGCCGAGGGGUCUCGAUCUAGAUCUGAAGGACUGAGGGGCUAAAACUUGCCUGUGAUGGGCUGUGGGAUGGGGAGCCCCCCACUCGUGGCGGACUGUAGGGUUCGGGCCUGUGCGCCCGAUCUGGGGUCCAAGCCCUGUUGGUGGCAGGCUGUGGGGCUGGACUGGGGACGGGCUCUGGGGCCGAGUCCAGGCUGCCCUGGGCAGCUCCAGGGAGGUGCUGUGGGGGCCGGCGGUAGUGGUGAGUGUGUGGAUGGCUUUAAACACCCCCCCCCCCCCCGCCCCCCACAGUUCAGGGACUGAUGGCUUUUAAUAAUACCAGGGUAUCACGGCCGACACAAACUCAGGGCACCUGCCUGGGCAGAUACAGGUGUCCUCACCUGGCUGUCCCUUCCUCCAGGGCUGCUCGGCUCCCAGGACGGCAGAGCUGGAAGUGACUGGCCGAGCCCAGGAUGCUGCACUGGGGCCGUGACUUGGAGUGCUCUGUGCUCCAGGGCUGCUGCUCCUCUGUAUGGGGUUCCAAACCUUCAACCCUUCUUACUCCAGAACUUCGAAAGUGCGCCUCCCACCUCCCUCAAAUGCCUUUCAGCUCUCCCUGCUGCAGCAGGACCUGCUCCAUCUCUCCUGUCCAGAAAUAAACCCUGUGACAAAGUCUGGCGUAGCCCCAGAGCUGAUCCCCACCUCCCUUGUCCCAGCCUUCGUGCCCUCCAUCAGAAAACUGGGGAAUAAAAUGCUCAGCUGUCAGCUCCUGAAUGGACUGUCAGAAACCAAGGCAAGGAGCAGCCCCUCCUUCAGCUCUGUGUGCAGGUGCCCACACAGCCACGUUAUAACCUCAGCUGCAGAUUAGAAGUGCUUUGUUUGUGAUUCCUGGGUGCUCUGCACUUUGAUGCAUCGUCUCCCGACAGACGCAGGGCAAGCUCCGCUCCUCCCGCCUGGCCUAGGCUGCAAUGAUGGAUUAAGUGGGGCAGAGUAGCAGGAGUCCUGGUGGAGGCAGUCCCUCUGACAUGAAUCCAUGGAUGAUUUCACUUGUAUGUACAGGAGAUGGCCAUUGGCGUGGAUUCUCCACCCAGGACCUCUGAACUGAGCAAUGACAAGCUGCCCUAUUCUGCCCCUUGAAGAACAGACACUUGGUAGCAGCAAGUGCUGGUUCAUCUGGAAAUAGAGUGAGAAGUGGUCAGAAGGGAGGAGACCACCUACCCAUCCACAAAACAGUGAGCUGCUGCUGGUGGCAACAAGGUGGGGACAUGCCUUGGUGGCCAAAUAGGUUUACUUCUCACAGAUGGGUAUAGAAAUGGUACCUGAAUCCCUUAGGACAGUCCAGGGCCCGGAAAGUCCUUUCUGAUCUUUUCGUCUGGGUUUUUCUCCUCUUUCAAAUGAGGUGUUUUCCUCCUGAUGCUUUGAGCUCCCCCUGAUUUGGAUCAUUGUCUUGCCAAGUUCGGUUAGCAUGGCUCGGUCUCUGUCUGGAACUUACCACAAGGGUUGCCUGUAUUAAAGACAGGCUGAAGUUUGGAGUGUCAGCAGAGGCCAAGGAAUGAACCAGGACUCCACUGGCCUCCCUCACCCCUCCAUUGGAUGAGUUUUCCUCUGGAGUUUGGGGAAGUAGGUUAGGGAAGGGGUUGGAGAGGUCUGGGCUGCUGUAGCCUCCUCUUUGCACAGGGAGCUCCUCUGUGUCCCCUGGACAGCUCCAUGCGGGUCGGUCAGCUUGGGAGUGAUGGCAGAGCUCGGGCCUGGAGGACGAGUGGUUCUUGUGUGCUCCCGAAACUCUGAGAAAGAGAAAAGACAAUGUCAUCAAAAAGACACAUCAUCAGAUCAGCAGGAUGGCGUGGUAGGCCUGUUCCCAGUCUUCUGCUCUUCCCAUGAAAUACUCAUGCUCAUGGACCCUCCCUGCCCAACCUCUCCCUGCAGUUACCCGGCUGGGAGCAACACGGGAGACGUGGCAGCAGCCCCAGCAACUGCCACAGAUAAAGAAAUUUGGGGAUAUUCUGAAAAACAAGAGGAUGGGGAGGCCGUGGGAGCAAUGUGUUGAUGCCAGCUUCCUUUGGGACCCCUGGAACCCAAUGUGUCCUGUCUCUAGGCUGUUCUGUGUCCUCAUGUUAUUGCAACACGUGCUUGUGUCUGAUGGAUGCAGGGGGCAGAGGGGGGAAUCCUCUGUUGCCUCUUUUUAGAGUUAAAACACAAGAUGAUCCUGGUAAGUCUUUGUCCUGCCAGGACUGACCCGGGGGUCACUUUCCCUGUGGCUUCCACCAGCUCAAGCCAGUGUCACUGUCACUCAGUUGUGUGAAUGGCUGGGGAGGAAAAUUCCCUUCCCUGGGUAUAAUCUGGGAUCUGUCCUGUGGCAGCUGAAUGUCAGCCUGGCAUUCCCUGCUCCGUGCCUGGGGACAAGGCAGGUCAUGACUUACACAUUUCAUCAUUACAAAGAGAACUUCCUCUAGAUGUGGGCAAUAAGACAGUGGCACUGACCUGUGAUCCUGGCACUGAGCAGCGUUAAUGACUCCCCUUUGCAGGUAAUAAGCAGCAAAUGUACACAUUUUGGGGGCAUCUGAAUGUUUUUUUCUCCUUUUAAGACUACUGUCUUCCUAGGCCAGACUUAAUUAGCAGACCUCAUUAUUUCCUGAAAUGUAACUUGACUUCUAUUGAGUGGGAAUUGUUCAGUGGAUGGGAAGCAGCAGAGCAGUGCUGCAAUAUUCAUAUUGUUUUAAUUGCAACAUUAACAUUUCAUGCCGCUCUUGGCACACUUUCAGGUGCGGCCCCUUAGCUCAAUGCAACACUGUGAGAGGUUGGAUCGGAACAAUUAGGACAGAGUGACUGGAUUUCUGGAUUUUCUUUUUUUCUUUUCUUCUUCUACUCUAAUGAACACAAGCUUGAAUUCAGCCCCCAUCCCUCCUUUUGUUGGGCAGAACAGGGAGUCACCACCCCUGGAGUGUAAAUCCCUCUUUUUUUUUUUUUGAAUAAAGGAUGUGCUGUAGCACAUGUUUAAAUUGUCUUUUUGCAGAGCUGAAGCCCCACAGGUACAAGUGAUACAUGAUCCACUAGGCUGAAGGCAUCUCCUGGGACUUGACCUUUACCAGGUGAAUCAGAGAAGUCCCAAAACGUGUCUGGCCAGCUGGGAUAGUGUCACAAAUGAGCUGGAGGGGAAAAAGGUUAUUUGUCACUUCUCAGCUUCCUCCAGGGCUCUGGAAUGCCCGAGGCUGGAAAUGACACUGCGAACAGAUAACGCCUGGGUUUUCAGUGCAGAUCCUAAACGAGCACAGGAAUCACCCUGCUCUAUCCCCAAAUGGCAUAUAGGGUUUGGCUUUCUCACAGAGGGGGCAGGCAACCCUGAAAUGCCGGGCUCAGCCUUAGCAAGGUUGCAUCACACUGGGUGAUGUGAGAACUUUAAUUGGCUCUAAAGGGAGAACAAGGAGGCUGGUGAGUCCCCUUCAGCCUUCAGAAGGAAGAAGAAGGGUUUCUGAGGAUUCCUCUUUCCUGCUGGGGGAAGGACACCAAUGCUGGUGCCUGCCAGCCCCGUGCUGGGGCUGGUGUGUGGGUCUGGUGGGCAGCAAGGCCCUGCGUGUGGGGGAACGGGCUCCCAUCAGUCAACGCUCUGAUGGGCAGCUUGAUGUGUCAGUGAUCCUGCUGAGAGCUCACUGGGCACUGCUUGGACUCUGGGCUGCCUUCCUGGCAUUUCCUGGCAGCAGUCUGUGGAUGAAACGUCUUUCUGGAAGGUGAAACCUCUGUCCAUGCAGUGGAAAGGCAAUGGGAGGAGUUGUGGGGGCGAGGGAGCUCCUCUGCCUGUCAGUUCUUCCCCUUGGAGCUGGGCAUGUCACUUCCACUUUAGGCAGCAGCUGAACUCAUCCAUAAGUCUGGGAGGGCAAUUAAGGCUGGAAAUGCAGGAGGACCUCAGCUUGGUCUCUCAAAGAAGGACAAGGGAAGGGCACACAUUCCAUUUCCAUGGGCUUUCCAAAGGCUAACGUGCCAUCUUAGCUGGCUGGCUCUCCUAUCAGCCAAACAGGCCUGAAACCUUCUCCUGUUGGUCCUGUGUGCAGUGGGAUCCAUGAAAUCCCAUCUUCUCUCGAUGUACGGUUUGGGUUUGGAGUCUCUGGUGUCCAGUAAGUUUUUUGUGCUGAACGGAGCAUCUCCCUUUCCUGGGAUAUUUAUGGCAUCUCUCCCACACAAAUUGUCUGAUGUCUAAUAAGGGAUGAUACACUACAGUUUGGAAGGUGCUAAUAAUGUCUCCUCUGUUUGGUGGUCUGUUCCCAUGAAAUUUAUAGACUCUGGCUGUCUCCAAGACCUCUGUUGCUCUGUCACAUCAGCUUGAAAUCUGUUUGCAGUGUCAGAAGUUGCUGGGGAGUGGGCAGAGGACAGACUGAUGCAGCAGGAUUGCAUAUGCUUUGCACUCCUUGGGAAAUCAGGCUGAAAAUGCACAGAUCUGGGAACGGGGGCAGCUGUGGCUCGGGUCACGGAGUUGAGUGUUUGGGAAAGCCAAUCUGGCUGUGUGGGAGGAAGGGGAUGAGCCCCGAGCGCUCUGCCCCAGCCCCUGCUGCCGCUCCUCAGGCACGUUUGAGCUGCCUGGGGCGAGCAGCGAGUGCCGAGCGUGGCCUCUUGUGGGAAACAGCCCCCGCGGACGAUAAACGAGCCAGCCCAGAGCUCCUGGCUGGUGUGAAGAAUUGCCUGGCUAAAGGAUAAUGAAUGCCACAGCAGGAGACAGAGCGUUUCUCUGAGGCCAUUCAUCCCCUUUAUCACCCUGCUAACAAGCCCCAGAGCGACUUUAGAGAGACUUCUCCGGAGCAGCACCAUCCCUCAGCCGCGCUGCUGGCUGGGUGCUGGGGGUCAGGGGUACAGCACAGUGCGGCAGGAAGCCACGGACCAUCUCCCAGAUAACAGCCCCGGGUUUGGGUCUCUGCUCUGGGACUGUGCCUUGGCUUUGCUUUGGCUGGCGUGAAGACCGUGCCCUCCUUCAGGCCGUGCAUGGUGCCACCUGAGAGAUCCAGAUGUAAAAGCCAAGCAUCCAUCUUUUCUAAAGUACUUCUGGGCAGCACCUGCAGCACCCUUAGGAGGAUUGCUCUAUCCCAACUCCCAGCUUGCUUAAGAUUUAAGAUCUGUAAGAUUUAUACAAGACCCAAGAGGAGUUUGGGGCCGCCAGCACGUAGGUGAGUUGGUUCUGCUUCACUAGCAGCACAGCUGAGCCUGUGCGUGAGCCUUGUGUGAGGAGGAAAGGGCAGGAGUGAUGUGCUCUUCAUAAGAGCUAAUAAAAGCUAAUCCAUCCCUUUGCUCCAAGACAGUAAGGAAGCAUUAGUGGCUGGCUGAGUGCCUCCUCCACUGCGGCAGCGUGCUGGGUGCCUCUGCCUUCCCUGUGGCUGGGAGCAGAGCGUGUCCUCCCGUGGGGGGAAGGCAUCUCUGGCAGAGCUGUGCCACCUGCAACUGCUCUCUGGAGCUGGCAUGCCUCCUGGGAAGGAGAAACUGCCAGAGAACCCUCACAGGUGAGCCUGGAAAUGAGGAUGGACAUCCCUUGGGCAGUCUGUCAUGGCAGGCCUCAGCUCCAAGCAAGCACCUUGCCUCUGCUCCAGGACUUGGGCCAUGGCUUGUGGGAGCGGAGGAGAGCAUCAGCUCUGAUUUGACUGGUGUGUAUGAGACCCUCGGAAAGGCUGGAGCUGGCUGAGCCCCAGUAGGUGCCCAAGUAGGUUGGAAUCCCUUCACCAAACAGCCUGUGUGCUCACCUGUGCACUGUGUGUGCAGGUACAAGCUGUGCCACCCUGCCAGAGCAAUUUGUGUCUGGGGCACAGUGCACAGUGGGUGAUCAAGUAGAACUAAUUGCCAGUAAUUGGAAGUUUUUUCUUUUUCAUCCUGUGUGUUUUCUUAAUUUCUCCUUCUUCUCCUCUUCCAGGUUUUGCUGUUGGGGGAUGUAUUUGGUGUGGUCCAUGGUCAACACCCCACAACCAGUGCCACUGGGAGAAGGGAAAGCAAACAGGAGAGUUUAUGCUGUGUUAGGGUGUCCUCAACAAAUGCUGAUAGUGGUUUUUUAGGGGCAAAAAAGAGCAGAAAAGCUGCAAAGCUUUGCAGGUGGAGGGCCUAGAUAGACAUGCCAUGAUAGACAAUUGGGUGGUUCCAACGAGGGGAGAAACAGCAGGAGAGCAGCAGGUGGUGGGGGCGGUCUGGAGUGUGUUUGCAGAGCUGUGGAGCAGAGGAGAAAGUGUGUCAUGGAGCCAGGUGUCUCCUUGAGUGCGAGCAGCACAACAGCAAAAGGAUUGCAACCCUAAUUUUUUCUCUCAAUUUUUUUUUUUUUUUUUAAUCAGGAGGUCUCCAAGCAUUUUAAAAGGAAGCUAACAUUGCAGAUUGAAGGACUUCACAUCUUGAGGCUUCAGUGACUAAGUUUGGAGCCAGCCAAAGG